CCUCAGCAGAGCCCUGGGGAGUCUGCACCAUGGCCUGGACCCCACUCCUCCUCCUCCUCACUCUCCUCCUUCACUGCACAGGGUCUCUCUCCCAGCCGGUGCUGACUCAGUCGCCCUCUGCCUCUGCCUCCCUGGGAGGCUCGGUCAAGCUCACCUGCACUCUGAGCAGUGGGCACAGCAGCUACACCAUCGCAUGGCAUCAGCAGCAGCCAGAGAAGGCCCCUCGGUACUUGAUGAAGCUUAACAGUGAUGGCAGCCAUAGCAAGGGGGACGGGAUUCCUGAUCGCUUCUCAGGCUCCAGCUCCGGGGCUGAGCGCUACCUCACCAUCUCCAACCUCCAGUCUGAGGAUGAGGCUGAUUAUUACUGUCAGACCUGGGAUACUGGCAUUCACACAAUGACUGCUCUGCAGGUCACCUCUGUGUCAUUGCCGAGAGUCCUGGUCACAGGGAUCUGGGUCGGUGUCAGCCUGACUGUGAUUCAGCUGGGUGACUGCCCCUUCAGGACACAAAUCCAAUUACUGGAGCCCUGA